rnacentral:rRNA from 1 species
AGUGAACGCUGGCGGUAGGCCUAACACAUGCAAGUCGAACGGCAGCACAGUAAGAGCUUGCUCUUACGGGUGGCGAGUGGCGGACGGGUGAGGAAUACAUCGGAAUCUACUUUUUCGGGGGGGAUAACGUAGGGAAACUUACGCUAAUACCGCAUACGACCUACGGGUGAAAGCAGGGGAUCUUCGGACCUUGCGCGAUUGAAUGAGCCGAUGUCGGAUUAGCUAGUUGGCGGGGUAAAGGCCCACCAAGGCGACGAUCCGUAGCUGGUCUGAGAGGAUGAUCAGCCACACUGGAACUGAGACACGGUCCAGACUCCUACGGGAGGCAGCAGUGGGGAAUCUUCGGCAAUGGGCGCAAGCCUGAUCCAGCCAUGCCGCGUGAGUGAAGAAGGCCUUCGGGUUGUAAAGCCCUUUUGUUGGGGAAGAAAAGCAGCAGGUUAAUACCCCGCUGUUCUGACGGUACCCAAAGAAUAAGCACCGGCUAACUUCGUG